rnacentral:sRNA from 1 species
GCUGGGUGUGGUGGCCACGCCUGUCAUCCCAGCAAUCCUGGAGGCUGAGGCAGGAGGAUCGCAAGUUGGAGGCCAGCCUCAGUGACUUAGUGAGACCCUGUCUUAA